rnacentral:rRNA from 1 species
UUGGAGGGCAAGUCUGGUGCCAGCAGCCGCGGUAAUUCCAGCUCCAAUAGCGUAUAUUAAAGUUGUUGCAGUUAAAAAGCUCGUAGUUGAAUUUCGGGAUCAGAGUGUCGGUCGUGCCUCGGUACGCACUGGUAUUAUUGGUUCCUACCUUCUGAAGAACCGCGAUGUCAUUAAUUUGGUGUCGUGGGGAAUCAGGACUGUUACUUUGAAAAAAUUAGAGUGUUUAAAGCAGGCUUACGCUUGAAUACAUUAGCAUGGAAUAAUGAAAUAGGACGUUUGAUUCUAUUUUGUUGGUUUCUAGGAUUGACGUAAUGAUUAAUAGGGAUAGUUGGGGGCAUUAGUAUUCAAUUGUCAGAGGUGAAAUUCUUGGAUUUAUUGAAGACUAACUACUGCGAAAGCAUUUGCCAAGGAUGUUUUCAUUAAUCAAGAACGAAAGUUAGGGGAUCGAAGACGAUCAGAUACCGUCGUAGUCUUAACCAUAAACUAUGCCGACUAGGGAUCGGAUGAUGUUAACUUUUUAAUGACUCAUUCGGCGCCUUACGGGAAAC